CUGCCCCAAGCCCGGCUCCCAGAGGCGCAGCGCGGCCCAGCGGGCCCCGGACAGCCUGACUCGCGCUGUAAUCGUGAUAGAGCAUCUUCACGAACUGCCGAUAGCGCCACUUGUUGUGGCCGAAGCCUGAUUUCUCGCAAGUCGGCACAUCUGACAGCCUGAGGGGAGUUGGCCGCGGGUACAGCCCAGCCUCCAGGACUCAGCACGCCCCGCCCUUCCCACCGCCUAGCUCCCCGCACUACUCGCCACGCCCUCCGAGUCACGCCCCUUAGGACAGGCGCUGUGCCGCCGGGCCGCGCACGUUGAGGCUGCCCGGGGUGGGGAAGGGGGUUUAGCGGCUCGCGCGGACCUGGCGGUUGGUGAGUCUUCUUGGAACCCGCGCGGAAGCUCCUAAGCCGGUAUUUGAAACGUAAACUCACCGGUUACGAUGGAAAUACCGGUAGCUGGAAACCUGGAACUUGCCUUUUCAAAGCCACCUUUCCCGCCGUCACCUCUGCCCCUCGGGGCUGCCAUAAUCGUUCCCAUGGACCCUCGGUGGUGUGGCUGCCCGCAGAGUGCCCCUCGGCCCCCUGGGCUGGCUGAACAGCCCAUACCUCGUCAGUCCUCUUAGAGGAACUGCCCAGUGCUAUGUUGUGAAAAAGAGAAACAUGAUAAUGAACAGGCCCAAUGCUGCGUGGUACAGUUGGGAAAGUCAGGUGGGCAGGAAGGAUGCAAAAAAAGCAAAAUAUCCAUGGUAUGACUUAAUGGAGCAUCAAUCCUACUGCCAGAUUUGGAAGAACUGAAGUUAAGUAAUUUCCAAGAGAUAGAGACAGCCAGCGAGAGAGGGA